UUCCACGGACACCCAGUAUAUAACCCCCGCCGGCCGGUGAAAAGGCCCCCCCAGGGAAAAAUUCGAUGGCGGAUUUUUUUAAGAAUGCCCGCCCCCCAAUUGCACCUCAGGCUCGGCCCCUUACCCCUUCCGGGAGGAAACCCUUGGGGGAGCUAUUGGCACAAUGGAACGAAAAUUCUAUUCCAGCAAACCCCCAGGGCCCCCGAAAGAAUGUUUUUUCGGGUAUGGUAAAGGCUCCUUUCAGCCAAGGAACGAAAAAAGGCCGGUCCCUGAAUUAGGAAGGCCCCGGGCUAACUUUUGUGCCCGCAGCCCCGGUUAUCAGUAGGGGGGGCAAGCGUUAUCCCGGAUUUAUUGGGUGUAAAGGGAGCGUAGACGGCGAAGCAAGUCUGAAGUGAAAAAUCCGGGGCUCAAUUCCCCGAAGUUCUUUGGAAGUUGUCUCGAUAAAGGGUCGGAGAGGUAAGUGGAAUUCCUGGCGUAGCGGUGAAAUGUGUAGAUAUCAGGAAGAACACCGGAGGCGAAGACGGCUUACUGGACGAUAACUGACGUUGAGGCUCGAAAGCGUGGGAAGCAAACAGG
rnacentral:rRNA from 1 species